GACGAACGCUGGCGGCGUGCUUAACACAUGCAAGUCGAGCGGUAAGGCCCUUUCGGUGGUACACGAGCGGCGAACGGGUGAGUAACACGUGGGUGACCUGCCCUCAGCUCUGGGAUAAGCCUGGGAAACCGGGUCUAAUACUGGAUAUGACUCCAUGACGCAUGUUGUGGGGUGGAAAGCCUUGUGCGGCUGAGGAUGGGCCCGCGGCCUAUCAGCUUGUUGGUGGGGUGAUGGCCUACCAAGGCGACGACGGGUAGCCGGCCUGAGAGGGCGACCGGCCACACUGGGACUGAGACACGGCCCAGACUCCUACGGGAGGCAGCAGUGGGGAAUCUUGCGCAAUGGGCGAAAGCCUGACGCAGCGACGCCGCGUGAGGGAUGACGGCCU
rnacentral:rRNA from 1 species